rnacentral:lncRNA from 1 species
UUAAUGAUAUUGCCUACACAGCUGUGAAUUCAUAUAAACAUGAAGAUAUUUGGCAGUAUAUAUUAAUUGAUUUACAUGCUAAAAGUAUACCAAUUUUUAUUGAAAAAAAAGGCUAGAAAGCAAUUGGCAGUAUAUAAAUGAUGUUUCGAAACUUUGGUUGUAUUUGAAUGCAAUAAGUUCUGCAGUUGCGAUAAUGAAACAGUUCAUAACUACAGUAUAUUACAUAACACUAUGGUUGUGAAUGGUGCUUAAACAAUUACCUCCAAAAAACUGCAGUUUCCCCACAGUUGCGAUCUUGUUCCAUUGGCCGUGUUUCACAUUGUAAGCCCAAAGGCUAUUCUUCCUGCAAAAAACUAUGACAUUGCCAUCUUCAAGACUUCAAAGAGGCAACUGCAGAACUAAAUUUUCACUUUUCAUUUACGUGAUUGACAAUGCCUUCAUCUUUACGAGGCUCCUCGCCAUCAUUAAUUCCCUUCACAAUUAGAGAUUUUUCCCUUCAUAAUUAGAGAGUUAGCUUCUUUCUGGACAUCGCACAUGUUAUCAACAACUCUAUAAGUGGGUCCUUUUGGUCUCUUUGCCGGUUUCUUAUGAAGUUCAUUUCCAACCUCUGACUUUACAACUCCCCUGUUUACAUAACAUAGGCACAUGAGAACCAAGCGAAGAAAACUAUACAUCCGAUUUAUAGUUUAAACUAGAAACAAACACCACUGUACAUGUGAAAGAAUAACAUUCCAUUCCAUUUCUCGAAUGAAGAUUGAUUAAGAUUACAUUUUGUUUGGGUUUGCAAAAAUCCUUAAAAAUCCAUAUCUCAAGCUCAUUUGGAUAUUUAAAUUUAAGAAAUGACAAAUAGUUACCCCAUCCUAUGAAUUAAUUUUCCCUUUGACAACCCAACAAAAGGCUACUCUUCUUUCACACAUUUCUGAUCCUCUUAUUUACACAAAAAAAAACAGACAAAAGACAAGAUGAUCAAAGAGAAGUUCAAACAAAAACUCAAAUAAUUGGAGUUUUAAAAGUGCAGUUGGGUACAUUGGAGUUUUAAAAGUGCAGUUGGGUACAUUGGAGUUUUAAAAGUGCAGUUGGGUACUUGGGUUUGCAGAACAUGGUAUGAACCUGUAAACUGAUCUGCUUUCGCAAAGAUUCAUAAUGCUAAUUCGAAGAUCACUACUCCAGACAUAAACUCCAAAGUAAUGG